UGGGGAAUUUUGGACAAUGGGCGAAAGCCUGAUCCAGCAAUGCCGCGUGUGUGAAGAAGGCCUUCGGGUUGUAAAGCACUUUUGUCCGGAAAGAAAUCCUUGGCUCUAAUACAGUCGGGGGAUGACGGUACCGGAAGAAUAAGCACCGGCUAACUACGUGCCAGCAGCCGCGGUAAUACGUAGGGUGCAAGCGUUAAUCGGAAUUACUGGGCGUAAAGCGUGCGCAGGCGGUUUGCUAAGACCGAUGUGAAAUCCCCGGGCUCAACCUGGGAACUGCAUUGGUGACUGGCAGGCUAGAGUAUGGCAGAGGGGGGUAGAAUUCCACGUGUAGCAGUGAAAUGCGUAGAGAUGUGGAGGAAUACCGAUGGCGAAGGCAGCCCCCUGGGCCAAUACUGACGCUCAUGCACGAAAGCGUGGGGAGCAAACAGGAUUAGAUACCCUGGUAGUCCACGCCCUAAACGAUGUCAACUAGUUGUUGGGGAUUCAUUUCCUUAGUAACGUAGCUAACGCGUGAAGUUGACCGCCUGGGGGAGUACGGUCGCAAGAUUAAAACUUAAAUGAAUUGACGGGGUCAUA
rnacentral:rRNA from 1 species